UACGGGGGGGGGGCAAGCGUUGUUCGGAAUUACUGGGCGUAAAGGGCUCGUAGGUGGCCAACUAAGUCAGACGUGAAAUCCCCUCGGCUUAACCGGGGAACUGCGUCUGAUACUGGAUGGCUUGAGUUUGGGAGAGGGAUGCGGAAUUCCAGGUGUAGCGGUGAAAUGCGUAGAUAUCUGGAGGAACACCGGUGGCGAAGGUGGCAUCCUGGACCAACACUGACACUGAGGAGCGAAAGCCAGGGGAGCAAACGGG
rnacentral:rRNA from 1 species